ACUGUAAUUUUGGCCGCAAAGCAGAGAUUUAAAAACCCUCAACCUUCGGGUCAUGUCGGUUCGAUUCCGACCCUGAGCACCA
rnacentral:tRNA from 1 species